rnacentral:rRNA from 1 species
UACGUAGGGGGCAAGCGUUAUCCGGAUUUACUGGGUGUAAAGGGAGCGUAGACGGCGCUGCAAGUCCGGAGUGAAAGCCCAUGGCUUAACCAUGGUACUGCUCUGGAAACUGUGGAGCUUGAGUGCGGGAGAGGUAAGCGGAAUUCCUGGUGUAGCGGUGAAAUGCGUAGAUAUCAGGAGGAACACCGGCGGCGAAGGCGGCUUACUGGACUGUAACUGACGUUGAGGCUCGAAGGCGUGGGGAGCAAACAGG